UAGGCUCGCCCGUGCCGUGGUGCUCGAGAAGCCGGAGGAAAAGCCGGCGCGGCCCUCGCCACUGUAGUCGCGGAGCCACGCGACCCUCGUCCGUCCCACGCGUGGGGCGGAGGCCACUGGGCGGGAGCCCGGGAAGGUCGGUCGCGCGGCGUUGAUGCGGAAGCCAGGAGACCGGCCACGGCGACAUGUUCCAC
rnacentral:ncRNA from 2 species